rnacentral:snRNA from 1 species
GGAUGUGAGGGCGAUAUGGCUGUGACAUCUGUCACCCCAUUGAUCGCCAGGGUUGAUUCGGCUGAUCUGGCUGUCUAGGCGGGUGUCCCCUUCCUCCCUCACCGCUCCAUGCGCGUCCCUCCCGAAGCUGCGCGCUCGGUCGAAGAGGACGACCAUCCCCGAUAGAGGAGGACUGGUCUUCAGUCAAGGGUAUACGAGUAGCUGCCCUCCCCUGCUAGAACCUCCAAACAAGCUCUAUAAUCCAGUAAGAAGGGUCAGAAAAGCAAGUGUGCCAU